CUAAGGAAUAUUACGGAAGACUACACAGUGUUUUGCUUUUGUUCAGUUUUGAGAGGCCUACGGGUAUCUCAAAAAGACUUGUUCAUUGAAAACUGGAUAUUGAAAUACAAGAAAAACAAACCGAGAACACACACCGCACUUGGAUGAAGAAAUUCGUUCAAUUGCUUAUUCUUGAGUAACCUUCUAUCGCUAGAAGAAGUGCUCAAAACCCGACCGUAAGGUCGUUAA
rnacentral:misc_RNA from 1 species